rnacentral:rRNA from 1 species
AGCAGCCGCGGUAAUUCCAGCUCCAAUAGCGUAUAUUAAAGUUGUUGCAGUUAAAAAGCUCGUAGUUGAACUUCAGGCCUGUCCAGAUGGUCCGCCUUAAUUGGUGUGUACUGUCCUUGGGUGGGUCCUACCUUCUGGCGAAGCGGCAUGGCCUUAGUUGGUUGUGUCGGGGAACCAGGACUUUUACUGUGAAAAAUUAGGGUGUUCAAAGCAGGCAUAUAUGCUCGAAUACAUUAGCAUGGAAUAAUGGAAUAGGACGAUGGUUCUAUUUUGUUGGUUCUAGGACCGUUGUAAUGAUUAAUAGGGAUAGUUGGGGGCAUUAGUAUUCAAUUGUCAGAGGUGAAAUUCUUGGAUUUAUUGAAGACUAACUACUGCGAAAGCAUUUGCCAAGGAUGUUUUCAUUAAUCAAGAACGAAAGUUAGGGGAUCGAAGACGAUCAGAUACCGUCGUAGUCUUAACCAUAAACUAAUGCCGACUAGGAAUCGGGCGA